CAAGCUACCCAUGUUUACUGAGCCUCAGUCUCAUUGUUUAGGAAGUGGGCACAAUAAGGCCUGCUUGGCUGAGUUUUUGUACGGGUUUAAUGAGCCUGCACUUGUAAAGGCCGCUGCUAUGGUGGCUCCAGCGAAGCUGGCUCCCGGCCGGCUCUCUCAGCUUUCCUUUGGAGAAGUGAAAAUUGGCCCGCUUUGAAAUCACCAUCUCCAGAGAGAGCUGCAGACAGCGAGAGCUGCAGACAGCGAGAGCUGCAGACAGCCUGCAGGCCGAGAUCCAGCAGGAGCACCAACAGGCAGCGGUCCUUCACAUGAGCUGCUUCCUGAUGCUUCACAGGACAUGCUCAACCAACACUUGAGCCUCAUCAGCAGCUUCAGAUGUACUUCUAGAGGAAUCCACCGGUACCGGGGCCCAAGGACGGCUGCUCAAGAAUACUACCUGUUCCUGCCACCUGUACCUGGCUCCCAGGCUGCACCUGAGGCUGGUGUUCCCCGUGCUCCUUGCUAGCAGGUCGUUCUGGAAGGUUGUGCCCAGCCCAUCCCUCCCAGAGGUGACGCGCACUUCAAGGACAGGUGACCCAUGCCUGGCCACUCACUGCUUAUGCCGCCCUGGCAUUGUCAGCUCCACCCCUGUAAGUGCAACAGCUCUGGUGGCAGAUUCCAGUUCUCUUUACUACAUCGUAGUAAAGAUGUGGCUCCCCCACCUCUUCCU